rnacentral:misc_RNA from 1 species
UUUCCGUAGGUGAACCUGCGGAAGGAUCAUUACCCAUUACGUUUGCAGGCGCGGAGGCACGAGGUUAGCCCCGGGUUUCCGCGCCGCAUUCUACCAUCCUUUUUUCACGAGCACCUUCGUUCUCCUUCGGCGGGGCAACCUGCCGCUGGAACUCAUCAAAACCUUUUUUGCAUCUAGCAUUACCUGUUCUGAUACAAACAAUCGUUACAACUUUCAACAAUGGAUCUCUUGGCUCUGGCAUCGAUGAAGAACGCAGC